rnacentral:tRNA from 1 species
GGUUUUAUAUUCAUCAGUGAUGAUUUUGGAAUGCAAUUCUAAAGGUGUAAUUAUUACUAAGACUU